UUAAGCGACUAAGUGUACACGGUGGAUGCCCUGGCAGUCAGAGGCGAUGAAGGACGUGCUAAUCUGCGAUAAGCGUCGGUAAGGUGAUAUGAACCGUUAUAACCGGCGAUUUCCGAAUGGGGAAACCCAGUGUGUUUCGACACACUAUCAUUAACUGAAUCCAUAGGUUAAUGAGGCGAACCGGGGGAACUGAAACAUCUAAGUACCCCGAGGAAAAGAAAUCAACCGAGAUUCCCCCAGUAGCGGCGAGCGAACGGGGAGCAGCCCAGAGCCUGAAUCAGUGUGUGUGUUAGUGGAAGCGUCUGGAAAGGCGCGCGAUACAGGGUGACAGCCCCGUACACAAAAAUGCACAUAUUGUGAGCUCGAUGAGUAGGGCGGGACACGUGGUAUCCUGUCUGAAUAUGGGGGGCCCAUCCUCCAAGGCUAAAUACUCCUGACUGACCGAUAGUGAACCAGUACCGUGAGGGAAAGGCGAAAAGAACCCCGGCGAGGGGAGUGAAAAAGAACCUGAAACCGUGUACGUACAAGCAGUGGGAGCACGCUUAGGCGUGUGACUGCGUACCUUUUGUAUAAUGGGUCAGCGACUUAUAUUCUGUAGCAAGGUUAACCGAAUAGGGGAGCCGAAGGGAAACCGAGUCUUAACUGGGCGUUAAGUUGCAGGGUAUAGACCCGAAACCCGGUGAUCUAGCCAUGGGCAGGUUGAAGGUUGGGUAACACUAACUGGAGGACCGAACCGACUAAUGUUGAAAAAUUAGCGGAUGACUUGUGGCUGGGGGUGAAAGGCCAAUCAAACCGGGAGAUAGCUGGUUCUCCCCGAAAGCUAUUUAGGUAGCGCCUCGUGAAUUCAUCUCCGGGGGUAGAGCACUGUUUCGGCAAGGGGGUCAUCCCGACUUACCAACCCGAUGCAAACUGCGAAUACCGGAGAAUGUUAUCACGGGAGACACACGGCGGGUGCUAACGUCCGUCGUGAAGAGGGAAACAACCCAGACCGCCAGCUAAGGUCCCAAAGUCAUGGUUAAGUGGGAAACGAUGUGGGAAGGCCCAGACAGCCAGGAUGUUGGCUUAGAAGCAGCCAUCAUUUAAAGAAAGCGUAAUAGCUCACUGGUCGAGUCGGCCUGCGCGGAAGAUGUAACGGGGCUAAACCAUGCACCGAAGCUGCGGCAGCGACGCUUAUGCGUUGUUGGGUAGGGGAGCGUUCUGUAAGCCUGCGAAGGUGUGCUGUGAGGCAUGCUGGAGGUAUCAGAAGUGCGAAUGCUGACAUAAGUAACGAUAAAGCGGGUGAAAAGCCCGCUCGCCGGAAGACCAAGGGUUCCUGUCCAACGUUAAUCGGGGCAGGGUGAGUCGACCCCUAAGGCGAGGCCGAAAGGCGUAGUCGAUGGGAAACAGGUUAAUAUUCCUGUACUUGGUGUUACUGCGAAGGGGGGACGGAGAAGGCUAUGUUGGCCGGGCGACGGUUGUCCCGGUUUAAGCGUGUAGGCUGGUUUUCCAGGCAAAUCCGGAAAAUCAAGGCUGAGGCGUGAUGACGAGGCACUACGGUGCUGAAGCAACAAAUGCCCUGCUUCCAGGAAAAGCCUCUAAGCAUCAGGUAACAUCAAAUCGUACCCCAAACCGACACAGGUGGUCAGGUAGAGAAUACCAAGGCGCUUGAGAGAACUCGGGUGAAGGAACUAGGCAAAAUGGUGCCGUAACUUCGGGAGAAGGCACGCUGAUAUGUAGGUGAAGUCCCUUGCGGAUGGAGCUGAAAUCAGUCGAAGAUACCAGCUGGCUGCAACUGUUUAUUAAAAACACAGCACUGUGCAAACACGAAAGUGGACGUAUACGGUGUGACGCCUGCCCGGUGCCGGAAGGUUAAUUGAUGGGGUCAGCGCAAGCGAAGCUCUUGAUCGAAGCCCCGGUAAACGGCGGCCGUAACUAUAACGGUCCUAAGGUAGCGAAAUUCCUUGUCGGGUAAGUUCCGACCUGCACGAAUGGCGUAAUGAUGGCCAGGCUGUCUCCACCCGAGACUCAGUGAAAUUGAACUCGCUGUGAAGAUGCAGUGUACCCGCGGCAAGACGGAAAGACCCCGUGAACCUUUACUAUAGCUUGACACUGAACAUUGAGCCUUGAUGUGUAGGAUAGGUGGGAGGCUUUGAAGUGUGGACGCCAGUCUGCAUGGAGCCGGCCUUGAAAUACCACCCUUUAAUGUUUGAUGUUCUAACGUGGACCCGUGAUCCGGGUUGCGGACAGUGUCUGGUGGGUAGUUUGACUGGGGCGGUCUCCUCCUAAAGAGUAACGGAGGAGCACGAAGGUUGGCUAAUCCUGGUCGGACAUCAGGAGGUUAGUGCAAUGGCAUAAGCCAGCUUGACUGCGAGCGUGACGGCGCGAGCAGGUGCGAAAGCAGGUCAUAGUGAUCCGGUGGUUCUGAAUGGAAGGGCCAUCGCUCAACGGAUAAAAGGUACUCCGGGGAUAACAGGCUGAUACCGCCCAAGAGUUCAUAUCGACGGCGGUGUUUGGCACCUCGAUGUCGGCUCAUCACAUCCUGGGGCUGAAGUAGGUCCCAAGGGUAUGGCUGUUCGCCAUUUAAAGUGGUACGCGAGCUGGGUUUAGAACGUCGUGAGACAGUUCGGUCCCUAUCUGCCGUGGGCGCUGGAGAACUGAGGGGGGCUGCUCCUAGUACGAGAGGACCGGAGUGGACGCAUCACUGGUGUUCGGGUUGUCAUGCCAAUGGCACUGCCCGGUAGCUAAAUGCGGAAGAGAUAAGUGCUGAAAGCAUCUAAGCACGAAACUUGCCCCGAGAUGAGUUCUCCCUGACCCUUUAAGGGUCCUGAAGGAACGUUGAAGACGACGACGUUGAUAGGCCGGGUGUGUAAGCGCAGCGAUGCGUUGAGCUAACCGGUACUAAUGAACCGUGAGGCUUAACCUU
rnacentral:rRNA from 1 species